GAAAUAGUCAUGACGUGUUUCCUGUUAGGGACGAAGGUCAAAUUCCAAACGUUCACACGACUGUUCACAGUUCUGGAAGCGAGAAUUCCAAGAGCCUUGUGUUGGCGAGGAAUGGGGCUCAUCAAAAUCCCCUUCUCCUCUUGCCCUGCCUGGAGAAAAGGCCCUGAAGACCCUUCCCCCGAGGACUGGGCUGCCUCAGGGGUAGAAGAUGUGGCGUGGAUGCUCCGAGCAGACACUUGGUCCCAAGGCCCAGCCAGGCAGUGGGAAAGGGUCCCUUCCAGAGGGUGUCAGCGAAUGGAGUGGAUCCAGUGGAGCAACGGAGGUUCCCAGAAGUAUAGCACUCUGGACCCCGAUGGCCACCUUUAUUCACACAAAGAAAGGGUUUUUCCAUUUGGAGGUCAACAUGUUGAAGCACCUGCUGGAGUUCCAUUGUGGCUCAGUGGGAAUGAAUCUGACUAGUAUCCAUGAGGAUGCAGGUUCAAUUCCUGGCCUUUCUCAGUGGGUUAAGGAUCUGAUAUUGCCGUGAUCUGUGGUGUAGGUUGAAGACGUGGCUCCAUCUGGUGUGGCUGUGGCAUAGGCUGGCAGCUACGUUUCCGACUCGCCCCCUCUAGCCUGGGAACCACCAUAUGCGGCAGGUGCGGCCCUAAAAAGACAAAACAAAAUAAAACAAACAAAAAAACAAAAAGCA
rnacentral:lncRNA from 1 species